UGAAUAUUUAGUGCGUAUUUGUUAGCACUAAAUUUUCAUGAGAUUUUUUGCACCAAAUUCAUGCAUAAUUCGUACCUGGGAAAUUGUACAAACUCAAAAUGCAGUAAACAGGUGCCAGCAUAUUCACACAAAAUUUGUACCGAUUAUUCUGCAAUAAUUUACUACUAAAUUAGUAUCAUUUUUCUAUUCGCGAUUAAAUAAACAAACCUCAAUUAUGGUCGAAAAUCAAAAUCCUAUUUCGGAUAAAAGUUCGUAUUCUUCGAGCUUGAAGGUGACAAAUGAGUGGAGAUUGUGCCGUCUACGUGGAUUUCAAAAGAUUGGACGACUAAUGGCGUGUUAUAUGCCGGAAAAUACGAUUAUUCAUACGUUGAGAACACAUAUAAGGAAUAAAUCUAUCGACUCAUGUGAUAACGACAAACGGCGUCGCCCUAAAUUAUCAGCAGAAGAGCCUGAGGUGAAUAAUGAGACAUUGGUCAGGAAUUCAUUUUAACUUAAUCUUUCUCUAUACUCCGUAAGUACGAAUUCUGCAGAUUAAUUACGAUAAAUAUUUGUGUAUCCCAAUUUGCAAUUAUCUAUUAAUUAGUUAAGUUUUUGGAGAUACCUAACA